UACGUAGGGUGCGAGCGUUGUCCGGAAUUAUUGGGCGUAAAGGGCUCGUAGGCGGUCUGUCACGUCGCAAGUGAAAACUCAGGGCUCAACCCUGAGCCUGCUUCCGAUACGGGCAGACUAGAGGUAUGCAGGGGAGAAUGGAAUUCCUGGUGUAGCGGUGAAAUGCGCAGAUAUCAGGAGGAACACCAGUGGCGAAGGCGGUUCUCUGGGCAUUACCUGACGCUGAGGAGCGAAAGUGUGGGGAGCGAACAGG
rnacentral:rRNA from 1 species